rnacentral:rRNA from 1 species
UACGUAGGGGGCUAGCGUUGUCCGGAAUCAUUGGGCGUAAAGCGCGUGUAGGCGGCUCGGUAAGUCUGCUGUGAAAGUCCAGGGCUCAACCCUGGAAUGCCGGUGGAUACUGUCGAGCUUGAGUCCGGAAGAGGCGAGUGGAAUUCCUGGUGUAGCGGUGAAAUGCGCAGAUAUCAGGAGGAACACCAAUGGCGAAGGCAGCUCGCUGGGACGUGACUGACGCUGAGACGCGAAAGCUAGGGGAGCGAACGGG